rnacentral:tRNA from 1 species
GGCGCGGUAGCUCAGCAGGUUAGAGCGCAUGAUUCAUAAUCAUGAGGUCUCCGGUUCAAUCCCGGAUCGCGCUA